CAGGAUGAACGCUGGCGGCGUGCUUAACACAUGCAAGUCGAACGGGGUUACGAGAAGCUUGCUUUUGUAAACCUAGUGGCGGACGGGUGAGUAACGCGUGAGUAACCUGCCUUAGACUGGGGGAUAACACUUAGAAAUAGGUGCUAAUACCGCAUAAGCGCACAGUAUCGCAUGAUACAGUGUGAAAAACUCCGGUGGUCUAAGAUGGACUCGCGUCUGAUUAGCUGGUUGGUGAGGUAACGGCCCACCAAGGCGACGAUCAGUAGCCGGCCUGAGAGGGUGAACGGCCACAUUGGGACUGAGACACGGCCCAAACUCCUACGGGAGGCAGCAGUGGGGGAUAUUGCACAAUGGGCGAAAGCCUGAUGCAAGCGACGCCGCGUGAGUGAUGACGGCCCUAGGGUUGUAAAGCUCUGAUCUGUGGGAAGAAGAAAGUGACGGUACCACAGGAGAAAGCCCCGGCUAAAUACGUGCCAGCCGCCGC
rnacentral:rRNA from 1 species